GGGCUCGUGGCAGACAGGAAUGCACCCGGCUUUUAACCGGCGUCCACGAGAGUUCGAAUCUCUCCGGGCCCA
rnacentral:tRNA from 1 species